GCACAGCGUAGCUCAAUGGUAGAGCGCGUCACUAGUAAUGACGAGGUUGCCGGUUCGAUUCCGUCCGAGGGCA